rnacentral:rRNA from 1 species
UACGUAGGGUGCGAGCGUUAAUCGGAAUUACUGGGCGUAAAGCGUGCGCAGGCGGCUUUGCAAGACAGAUGUGAAAUCCCCGGGCUCAACCUGGGAACUGCAUUUGUGACUGCAAGGCUAGAGUACGGCAGAGGGGGAUGGAAUUCCGCGUGUAGCAGUGAAAUGCGUAGAUAUGCGGAGGAACACCAAUGGCGAAGGCAAUCCCCUGGGCCUGUACUGACGCUCAUGCACGAAAGCCUGGGGAGCAAACAGG